AAGGCCGCCUGAGUCUGGUCCCCGUCGUCUGCGGGCAGUCAUCGACUCGAGGACGCCGCGUCAAGAUUGUCACUUCAAACCCUCACGCACAACUGCGAGGCGCGCAAUCACAAGUGCGAGGAAGAUCCUCAACGUGCCAUAGCACAUUUCCAGAGGAGACGAAGACUGAAAAGUCAGAGCUAACACCCCUGGAAAAAUGAAGAAUAAAAUAGGAAGGGAGGGAAAGCCUACUGAUAGAGAUACAGAGAUGCACGCUCCAGGAGCACUCAAAGACAAAUGUAUAAUUCCAAAAUACUUAAGAAGGACAGGAAGUGCACAGAAGACAAGCUUGGCUAAACAGCAAGAUCUUCAGUGAGUUGAAUCUCAAAAAGGAAUCUUAUAAAAAGUGAAAAUUUGGCUCUAUUACUCAGGAGGAGUCUAAAAGUAUUGCACAGGGAAACUGGGAGAAAACCAGGAAGGCCCAGGGUUACUUCUAGAGUACUGAAAGAAUUGGCUGAGAUAAUUUCAGAGCCAUUAGCCAUUUUCUGUGAGAACACCUUGACAACAUUUGGUGAGAUCUGACCUGCUGUGGCCUUGCUCUUCUUGCCUCUGGGAUGAAGCAAACACAAUGCUCAUUUUUAAGAAAGGGAAGAAAGACAAUAGAGGGAAUUACAGGCAGUCCAUCUGUCCUUGAUGCCUGUCAAGAUCAUGGAGCAGGUCAUCAAGGAAUCUGAUUAAGCACCUGUGGGAGAACAAGAUGAUUGGGAACAGCCAACAUGGAUCCAAGAGAAAGCCAUGCCUGACCAACCUGGUUUCCUUCUAUGACAAAGUGACAGUCUCUGGCUGGAGGGAGAGCAGUGGAUGUGAUGAACCUUGAUUUUACUGAGCCUUUUGACCCUGUCUCCCAUUACAUUCACAUUAAUGAGAUAAAGAAAUGCAGUCUAAAGGGCUAUAAGGUGGGUAUGUAACUGGUUAAGAAAAGGAAUUGCUUUUUAAACAUAACAAUGUUUUAAAUGUUUCUUUGUUUCCCGUGCGACUGAUAUCACGUGCCACAUUUCAGUUCAGUGAGCAUUUUUACAGCCAAGUUACAUUAUCCAGAAAAUAAAGGGAAUGAUAACUGAAUUGCUGAAAGAACCUCAUGGGUAGGCACAAAAAGCAUCAUUAUAAUCGCACAUCAUUAUAAUCAUCACAACCUUAUUUGGAUCUAUCCUGGUGUUUCCCAGCCCCCCUGACAUGCAAAUCCUUGCUAAAGUUCUUAGCUAAUUUCUCUCCGUCUGUGUUGCACUUAAAUAAUUUUAGUCUCCAGUCCAUUCUUAGUGCAAAGCGUCUUGUAUCUCAAUUUUUUUUUUACUGGACAAGCCUUUUGCUGCUUUCUUUCUGCCAUGAAAGCAUUAAAAGCUAAAAGUUUAUCAGCUACAUGCCAAUAGUUUACCCAUACAUGCCUUUCUUUGGUGCAAGUAUAACUAGCCUGUCCAAAACAAUUGAGAUUAAGAAACCUAAUUUGAUUAUGCCAGGUCUUGUCUUCACAGUCCUAUAAACCAAUUCAGGAGGAAGAAAGUUACCAAGCUGCCAAGAAUUCAUCACAUCCUGGCACUGGUUCUUUUGUAAUAAAUGUAAUUUUGUUGUUUAAAUAAUAAGGGAAGGGAAAAUAAUAUCAUUUUAUCUGCAUGCUCCAUGACAACCAUUCUUCUUGAAUGAUCUCAGGAUUAAAUUCUUCAAGGGGAUAAGAUGUCUACCACUGAGGAAUUUAUAGCACAUCCUUAUCCUGGGUGGAAUCCUUUCCACUGCCAGCUGAACAGUUUACACUAACAGCGAGAUGUCCCAUUGCAUGAGGGGGUUUACAAGGUUAAAAGAUAAAGUACAGCCAAAUAAAGAAUGGAAAUCCAAAAACACUGCAAGUGUACGCAGAAGAGAAGAGAGACAAGACAGUGGCUCCCUGAUGUGAUUGAUUAAAAUGUGGUUAGACAUUGUCAUUUGAAAUGAAUGGCAGGAAUUCAAAGGUACAGUUCCUGGAAUAAACCAUUUUAAACUUUUUUUUAGUCACUUAAGUCAGAACAGAUCACUGUGCUUCCAAACAGAUUAGAUAUGCAAGCUAAGAAUGAGUUUUUUCUACAUAGAUGUAUUUUUGCUAUAACUGCACAUGAGGGAAGAAAAUUCAGCCUGGAGUAUCUGAAAGAGUAUUUCAUAGAUGUGCAGGUGCUAGCUCUGUACAGGUAUCCACUCAAACUCUCACACUACAAGAGAAGCUGCUGUUUAUCUUCCAGACCUAAUACUAGGCCUGUGAGAGUUUCCACAAAAAGGAAGACAUGUAAAUGAAAUGGACCUGUUUGCCAGUCUGCAGGUGAAGAAGAUUCAUCCUCAGAGGGAACUGCCAUUAUCAAUGAAAAAGAAACUUCUGUGUCUCGACUCUGUGAUAGAUCUGGAAUGGCGCGUCACUGUGAUCCAAGCGCAGUGCUCAGACUGCAAAACCUGAUGAGACAGAAAUUGUUCUUUGCUGUGAGUUAGUGCUAACAACUACGUCCAAGGAGCUUUACUUUAAUGUGCUGGAAAGACUUUUAAAAUGUCAGGAAAUCCUGCUCGUGCAAACAGACACGCAACAGUUGCAGCACAUGAAAGGGCAAAUAUUGUGGCGUGUACAUGUACUCAACAUUAGCAAUAUGGAGCCUGGAAGUCGCAACUUGUUUAAAUAGAUCAGACGGGUGGAUCCAAUGGAAGAGGUCUUUGGUCAACUUCACUUGCCUUGAACCUAGUCUGCCUUACCGAGAUGGUGUCAGUUUCUUCAGCAAAAGAGAAUUCAAAAUGCUUACAACCUUGUUCUUGAUGGAAGGAAGUUCAUCUGUAUAAUGGGGAGAGAUGCUAAAGUAAAUGGGGGCAGGAGUAGUUAAUCUUGACCAGUAGUAUCUUUUCAGGGGACAUGAGGUUGCCCUCUUUUAUAGGUUUCUCUGACUCCCUGCAAACAGCAGCUUCAGGAGAAUGUUUGGAUGACUGUUAAUCAGGAAGUUCAGUUGUUGGAAGGUGAAAGCAAUGGUGAAUAGGAUGAAAAAAGAAACCAAACCAGGGUUUGCCUGAUGAAAAAGCGCAUGGAUGGGUUACUGUGUGAUUUAGUAUACAAGUGUGGGAGAGUGCACGAGACUUGGCUCUAGACUGUUCCUAUGUGUAGGGAGAAAGCAUGUGGAAGGAGUCAAAGGCACACUUAUUUUUCACGCACAUACCAGGCAGUAUAUGAUAAUGCAUUUAUAUUCGCUGAGAGCAUAAUUAUUAGGGACAGUAUGUGUAUGUUAUAGAACAAGUAUGGUUGCAAGCCUGACGCCGAGAAGGAGAAAAUGUCUGCUCAGGGGCACAUGGGUUUGUCAGUUUAGGUCACCGAUUGCUGUGUAGGGGCAAAAUAGCAAAUGCAGCACAGGGAAAGACAGAGAGAACCUACUGGGUUUUAUGCUGCAAACAUGGGGUUUUAUAGCCUUCUUGCAUGUCGUGAAGAUUCACGGCACCUGCCUGCACGUCAGAUCCCCCCAACAGGCUAGGCUGUAGGAGAUAAAAGUUCUGGCCUUGCACAGCUCUCGGGGUGUAGGAGUUAAAGAGAAAUGUAAAUGCCCUUGCAGUAAAUGCAAGGUAAAUUUUCAUUCACACACUCUCUCUCUGGUUCCAUUUUUCUUUUCAUGCUUUAAUCGUUCUGACACCAAGCCGUACAAAAGUAAUUUAAAAUCGACAUGACUGACACUUGGUAGAUAGCACAACUCAAGACAGAGCUCCACCUCCUCCUCGAGAGCGCUGAAAGGGCUCUUUGGAUUGGCUGCAGGACCUGAGGCAGCUGAGAAGGGCCUAAGAAAAACAUGGCAAACAAUUAAUUUGCUAAUUUAGUUUUCUGUUUAAUUUGAAACCAGAAAAUUGUCAGCCACCCAUCAGCCCACCAGCCUGGCUGCCCAGCCUGGUGGCAACGGUCGCAGUGCUUGCUAGCCAAGAGGGGAUGCUCCUUGUAAUGCUGGGCACUUUCCUGUUGAAGCAUCGAUGGCAGUGGAGAGGUCUGGGAUGGGGUUUUACCACUCGAGAUCUGUAGCACUGAGUUUUGUCACCUCUGUUCCGUACACCUGUGCCAGCCCCUCACCGCCUGUCUUCCUAGAAAUGUAACACACACAAAUGCACCGUCCUUGGACAACUGCUCCGGAAAUUUCCCAGUCUAGGCUAAAACGUGCUUGCCCGGCCUUAGCAUGAAAAAAAGCAUGAUUUAGUUAUAACUGAUUUGCCUCGGCCAAUCAGCAUUUGCACAAGGCUGCCCUGUGCUCAGUAGUUAGAAGGUCUGCGAGGCGUAAUAGCUCUCGAAGUCCUGUAGUAUGUCAGGGCUAAUGCCCUUUGAUGGAAUAAGAAAUGCUGUAAUUUGAUUUCCCCUUUUUCAGCUGUGAAGGAGAGCAUGUAAUUUUGAAUCUAGUUGGGGGAGGCCUUCUCAAAUUUGUAAACACUCUAUGCAGAAACCUGUGCGUACUUUGGAGGUAAUAAACUAAAUUGUA